GUGGUCCGUUCAGUGGUAGAAUGCUCGCCCGCAACGCGGGCGGACCAGGUUCGAUUCCCGGGAGAAACA
rnacentral:tRNA from 1 species